GGCCAUACCACCCUGAACGCGCCCGAUCUCAUCAGAUCUCAGAAGCAAAGCAGGGUCGGGCCUGGUUAGUACUUGGAAGGGAGAAAUACCCAAUUAGUCC
rnacentral:rRNA from 1 species